rnacentral:rRNA from 1 species
UACGGGAGGCAGCAGUAGGGAAUAUUGGGCAAUGGGCGAGAGCCUGACCCAGCCAUGCCGCGUGCAGGAAGAAGGCUUUCUGAGUCGUAAACUGCUUUUGACAGGGAAGAAUAAGCUGGUCGUGACCAGUGAUGACGGUACCUGCAGAAUAAGCACCGGCUAACUCCGUGCCAGCAGCCGCGGUAAUACGGAGGGUGCGAGCGUUGUCCGGAUUUAUUGGGUUUAAAGGGUGCGUAGGCGGCUCAUUAAGUCUGGGGUGAAAGCCCGCUGCUCAACAGCGGAACUGCCCCUGGAUACUGGCGAGCUUGAGUACAGACGAGGUUGGCGGAAUGGACAGAGUAGCGGUGAAAUGCAUAGAUACUGUCCAGAACCCCGAUUGCGAAGGCAGCUGACUAGGCUGUUACUGACGCUGAGGCACGAAAGCGUGGGGA